CCUACGGGUGGCAGCAGUGAGGAAUAUUGGUCAAUGGGCGGAAGCCUGAACCAGCCAAGUAGCGUGCAGGAUGACGGCCCUACGGGUUGUAAACUGCUUUUAUACGGGAAUAACGCGCCUUACGUGUAUCGCUUUGCAUGUACCGUAUGAAUAAGGACCGGCUAAUUCCGUGCCAGCAGCCGCGGUAAUACGGAAGGUCCGGGCGUUAUCCGGAUUUAUUGGGUUUAAAGGUAGCGUAGGCCGCAUGUCAAGCGUGCUGUGAAAUGUCCGGGCUCAACCCGGGCCUUGCAGCGCGAACUGGCGUGCUUGAGUCCGCGGAAAGCAGGCGGAAUUCGUGGUGUAGCGGUGAAAUGCUUAGAUAUGACGAAGAACCCCGAUUGCGAAGGCAGCUUGCUGCAGCGGAACUGACGCUGAUGCUCGAAAGCGCGGGUAUCGAACAGGAUUAGAUACCCGUGUAGUC
rnacentral:rRNA from 1 species